AUACGUAGGGUGCGAGCGUUGUCCGGAAUUACUGGGCGUAAAGAGCUCGUAGGUGGUUUGUCGCGUCGUCUGUGAAAUUCCGGGGCUUAACUCCGGGCGUGCAGGCGAUACGGGCAUAACUUGAGUACUGUAGGGGAGACUGGAAUUCCUGGUGCAGCGGUGAAAUGCGCAGAUAUCAGGAGGAACACCGGUGGCGAAGGCGGGUCUCUGGGCAGUAACUGACGCUGAGGAGCGAAAGCAUGGGUAGCGAACAGGAUUAGAUACCCUGGUAGUCCAUGCCGUAAACGGUGGGCGCUAGGUGUAGGGGUCUUCCACGACUUCUGUGCCGUAGCUAACGCAUUAAGCGCCCCGCCUGGGGAGUACGGCCGCAAGGCUAAAACUCAAAUGAAUUGACGGGG
rnacentral:rRNA from 1 species